rnacentral:rRNA from 1 species
GUAACGGCGAGUGAAGCGGCAACAGCUCAAAUUUGAAAUCUGGCUCUCGGGCCCGAGUUGUAAUUUGUAGAGGAUGCUUUUGGUGAGGUGCCUUCCGAGUUCCCUGGAACGGGACGCCAUAGAGGGUGAGAGCCCCGUCUGGUUGGACGCCGAACCUCUGUAAAGCUCCUUCGACGAGUCGAGUAGUUUGGGAAUGCUGCUCUAAAUGGGAGGUAUAUGUCUUCUAAAGCUAAAUACCGGCCAGAGACCGAUAGCGCACAAGUAGAGUGAUCGAAAGAUGAAAAGAACUUUGAAAAGAGAGUUAAAAAGUACGUGAAAUUGUUGAAAGGGAAGCGCUUGUGACCAGACUUGGGCUUGGUUGAUCAUCCGGGGUUCUCCCCGGUGCACUCUUCCGGCCCAGGCCAGCAUCAGUUCGCCCUGGGGGACAAAGGCUUCGGGAACGUGGCUCUCUCCGGGGAGUGUUAUAGCCCGUUGCGUAAUACCCUGUGGCGGACUGAGGUUCGCGCAUUCGCAAGGAUGCUGGCGUAAUGGUCAUCAGUGACCCGUCUUGAAACACGGACCAAGGAGUCGUCUUCGUAUGCGAGUGUUCGGGUGUCAAACCCCUACGCGAAAUGAAAGUGAACGCAGGUGAGAGCUUCGGCGCAUCAUCGACCGAUCCUGAUGUUAUCGGAUGGAUUUGAGUAAGAGCAUACGGGGCCGGACCCGAAAGAAGGUGAACUAUGCCUGUGUAGGGUGAAGCCAGAGGAAACUCUGGUGGAGGCUCGCAGCGNGUUCUGACGUGCAAAUCGAUCGUCAAACAUGGGCAUGGGGGCGAAAGACUAAUCG